rnacentral:rRNA from 1 species
GAUCCUAAGGCUCAGGACGAACGCUGGCGGCGCGCCUAACACAUGCAAGUCGAACGAGAGAUGAAGAGCUUGCUCUUCAAAUCGAGUGGCGAACGGGUGAGUAACGCGUGAGGAACCUGCCUCAAAGAGGGGGACAACAGUUGGAAACGACUGCUAAUACCGCAUAAGCCCACGGCUCGGCAUCGAGCAGGGGGAAAAGGAGCAAUCCGCUUUGAGAUGGCCUCGCGUCCGAUUAG